GACGAACGCUGGCGGCGUGCUUGACACAUGCAAGUCGAACGGAAAGGCCCUGCUUUUGUGGGGUGCUCGAGUGGCGAACGGGUGAGUAACACGUGAGUAACCUGCCCUUGACUUUGGGAUAACUUCGGGAAACUGGGGCUAAUACCGGAUAGGAGCUCCUGCUGCAUGGUGGGGGUUGGAAAGUUUCGGCGGUUGGGGAUGGACUCGCGGCUUAUCAGCUUGUUGGUGGGGUAGUGGCUUACCAAGGCUUUGACGGGUAGCCGGCCUGAGAGGGUGACCGGCCACAUUGGGACUGAGAUACGGCCCAGACUCCUACGGGAGGCAGCAGUGGGGAAUAUUGCACAAUGGGCGGAAGCCUGAUGCAGCAACGCCGCGUGCGGGAUGACGGCCUUCGGGUUGUAAACCGCUUUCGCCUGUGACGAAGCGUGAGUGACGGUAAUGGGUAAAGAAGCACCGGCUAACUACGUG
rnacentral:rRNA from 1 species